AAUAGCUGCUGCAGUUAAAGCUCGUAGUUGGAUUUCGGGUGGGGUGGUGCGGUCCGCCUCUGGUGUGCACUGCUCCGCUCCACCUUCCUGCCGGGGACGGGCUCCUGGGCUUCACUGUCUGGGACUCGGAGUCGGCGAGGUUACUUUGAGUAAAUUAGAGUGUUCAAAGCAGGCCUACGCUCUGAAUACAUUAGCAUGGAAUAACACGAUAGGACUCUGGCCUAUCUGUUGGUCUGUGGGACCGGAGUAAUGAUUAAGAGGGGUAGUCGGGGGCAUUCGUAUUCCGUUGUCAGAGGUGAAAUUCUUGGAUUUACGGAAGACGAACAUCUGCGAAAGCAUUUGCCAAGGAUACUUUCAUUGAUCAAGAACGAAAGUUGGGGGCUCGAAGAAA
rnacentral:rRNA from 1 species